CAGCCCUGGCAGCUCAUAUAUUAAAAUUGGUACAAUACAGAGAAGAUUAGCAUGACCCCUUAAAAAAAAAAAAACUUAACAAAAAGAUGCUAUCUUUAACUGU